rnacentral:rRNA from 1 species
UACAGAGGGUGCAAACGUUGCUCGGAAUCAUUGGGCGUAAAGCGCGUGUAGGCGGCACGACAAGUCAGCUGUGAAAGCCCUCGGCUCAACCGAGGAAGUGCAGCUGAAACUGUCGAGCUAGAGUGCUGAAGAGGGUGGCGGAAUGCGCAGUGUAGAGGUGAAAUUCGUAGAUAUUGCGUAGAACACCAGUGGCGAAGGCGGCCACCUGGGAAGCUACUGACGCUAAGACGCGAAAGCAUGGGGAGCAAAC